rnacentral:misc_RNA from 1 species
GAUGAAGAACGUAGCGAAAUGCGAUAACUAAUGUGAAUUGCAGAAUUCAGUGAAUCAUCGAGUCUUUGAACGCACAUUGCGCCCCCUGGUAUUCCGGGGGGCAUGCCUGUCCGAGCGUCAUUGCUGCCCUCAAGCACGGCUUGUGGGUUGGGCUCCGUCCCCCCGGGGACGGGCCCGAAAGGCAGCGGCGGCACCGAGUCCGGUCCUCGAGCGUAUGGGGCUUUGUCACCCGCUCUGUAGGCCCGGCCGGCGCCAGCCGACAACCCAUCAUCCUUUUCAGGUUGACCUCGGAUCAGGUAGGGAUACCCGCUGAACUUAAGCAUAUCAAUAAGCGGAGGA